rnacentral:rRNA from 1 species
ACGCGAGCUGGGUUCAGAACGUCGUGAGACAGUUCGGUCCCUAUCCGUCGCAGGCGUAGGAAAUUUGAGAAGACCUGUCCUUAGUACGAGAGGACCGGGAUGGACGUACCUCUGGUGUACCAGUUGUCCUGCCAAGGGCAUGGCUGGGUAGCUAUGUAUGGAAUGGAUAAGCGCUGAAAGCAUCUAAGCGCGAAGCCAACUUCAAGAUAAGAUUUCCCACCGCAAGGGUAAGACCCCAGAAAGACUAUCUGGUUGAUAGGUCGAAGGUGUAAGUGCAGCAAUGUAUUUAGCUUAUCGAUACUAAUAGGUCGAGGACUUGACCAAUAUUUAUU